GUGCUUGCUUCGGCAGCCUGUGGGCUAAUGUCAGAAUGAUACAGAAAAGAUUCUUAUAGUUCCUGGACAAGAAUGACGGGCACAUUUGUGAAGCAUUCCAUAUCUUU
ensembl:snRNA U6 U6 spliceosomal RNA